rnacentral:snoRNA from 14 species
GGAGCAGGCAACGUCUGUAUUAUGUGGGAGUUCGCUCGUUUUCCUCAUCUGCAUUUGUACUGUAGAAGCCUGCAAGA